UACGAAGGGGGCUAGCGUUAUUCGGAAUUAUUGGGCGUAAAGGGCGCGUAGGCGGCUUUGCAAGUGACGGGUGAAAGCCCUCGGCUUAACCGAGGAACUGCCUGUCAGACUGUAAGGCUUGAGACCGGGAGAGGUGAGUGGAAUUCCCAGUGUAGCGGUGAAAUGCGUAGAUAUUGGGAGGAACACCAGUGGCGAAGGCGGCUCACUGGACCGGAACUGACGCUGAGGCGCGAAAGCGUGGGGAGCAAACAGG
rnacentral:rRNA from 1 species